GCCCUGCUAGCUCAAUCGGUAGAGCGUGAGACUUUUACAAGCCUCGGCAGUAAAAAGAAGAAUUAGGGCGCUGAUCCGACAUUCAAUGGUCAUCUCAAGGCUGCGGGUUCGAGCCCCGCGUGGGGCU
rnacentral:tRNA from 1 species